rnacentral:rRNA from 1 species
AUUGAACGCUGGCGGCAUGCUUUACACAUGCAAGUCGAACGGUAACAGGUUAAGCUGACGAGUGGCGAACGGGUGAGUAAUGCAUCGGAACGUGCCCGAUCGUGGGGGAUAACGCAGCGAAAGCUGCGCUAAUACCGCAUACGAUCUGAGGAUGAAAGCGGGGGACCGUAAGGCCUCGCGCGAUCGGAGCGGCCGAUGUCAGAUUAGGUAGUUGGUGGGGUAAAGGCCCACCAAGCCGACGAUCUGUAGCUGGUCUGAGAGGACGACCAGCCACACUGGGACUGAGACACGGCCCAGACUCCUACGGGAGGCAGCAGUGGGGAAUUUUGGACAAUGGGCGAAAGCCUGAUCCAGCAAUGCCGCGUGCAGGAAGAAGGCCUUCGGGUUGUAAACUGCUUUUGUACGGAGCGAAAAGGUCCUUUCUAAUACAAGGGGCUCAUGACGGUACCGUAAGAAUAAGCACCGGCUAACUACGUGCCAGCCGCCGCAGUAAAAC